UUUUUACAAGUUUGAAAAGGCAUGGCCGCCACGGAAAAGGAGAUUGAUUUCAAAGAAUAACGGAACGAUCACUUUAGUGGACGUGGAUGCACGAAAAUAAAUUACAUAAAUGUGUUCAACGUCAUGUCAACUUUGGUGUCGUAGCUUUCCAUGUUCUCUAUGCUGUUUGGCAGAUUUGAGGCCUGAGCCAACCACCGAUACAGCAAAGUUUUGCUUGUGCUGAACCUCUAGUCAUCAUAUGAUUUGACUGAUCACCUUGUGUCAUCAGCAACAACCACAGUAUCAUCACUUAGAUAAACAGCAUCCCGUUAGAUUGGAGAAACUACCAGUGUCGGCCGAAUUACGUAUCUCUUCUUCCCCUUUCUUUAAAUGUCCUCGUGUAUGCCCAUGCGAGUGUGGGUGUAUUCA